CUUGGGUACUCGAGUGGCGAACGGGUGAGUAACACGUGGGUGAUCUGCCCUGCACUUCGGGAUAAGCCUGGGAAACUGGGUCUAAUACCGGAUAGGAGCCAUUUUUAGUGUGAUGGUUGGAAAGUUUUUCGGUGUAGGAUGAGCUCGCGGCCUAUCAGCUUGUUGGUGGGGUAAUGGCCUACCAAGGCGGCGACGGGUAGCCGGCCUGAGAGGGUGGACGGCCACAUUGGGACUGAGAUACGGCCCAG
rnacentral:rRNA from 1 species